ACACUGUCGGAAUUGAAUGCUUAUGUAAUCACUUCACCACCAGAGGCUGCAGAGUUCCUAUGCACUCUGGAAAUUGACAACAUUGAAACAUCAAACGCGUGGUGCUACAUCUCAUGUUCGAAACGCUCCCGGAAACUUCAGCGUGGUUUUUUUAUGUUCACUGUGCCUCAUAGAUAUAGUAGGGAGGAACUUAACACCCCAGCUGAAGCUUUCAGAAUUUAAUUUCCCAGCAAAGCAUCAGUCAUUCACCGUAUCCGCAUUUUUGAUCGCAACGAACAUGCACCUCUCCCGAAAUUCACAGCACAAGUGAUGAUAACCCGACGAUGAAAUGCCAUGAGUUGGAGCUGU